rnacentral:rRNA from 1 species
AUGGAGGGGAGCAACCACGGGGGGCAGGGGCAGCCGCCGCACCAGUACCACCAGUACCCGCCGCAUCCGCAGCCGGAGCCCUACCCGUACGCCUACCAGCACCAGCAGUACCCGCCGCCGUCCGCCGCGCCGCCGUCCCACUACCUCGCCCCCUCGACCUCCUUCCCGGCCUACUCCCCCGCGCCGCCGCAGCAGUUCGCGCACCACUCCGGCCCGCUCCAGCCCUACCCGCCGCCGGCGCCGCACCAGCAGCAGGCGUACCCUCCGCAUCCGCAGCACGCGUACCCGCCGCACUCGCAGCAGCACGGGUACCCACCGCCGCCGUCUCCCUCGCCGUACGGUUACGACCCCUACCCGGCGUACCCCUCCUACCCGAGCCCGGCGCACCCCUCCUACCCGAGUCCAGCGAUCUCCCCCAGCUCCAGCUUCCACCACCAGCCCCAUCCCUCGGCCCCUGACCCCACCGCGGCCUCCUACCCGAGUCCGGCGAUCUCCCAUAGCUCCAGCUUCCACCACCAGCCCCAUCCCUCGGGCCCCGCGGCCUCCUNNNNNNNNNNNNNNNNNNNNNNNNNNNNNNNNNNNNNNNNNNACCAGCCCCAUCCCUCGGCCCCUGAAUCCCCCGCGGCCUACUACCCGAGUCCGGCGAUCUCCCCUAGCUCCAGCUUCCACCAUCAGCCCCAUGCCUCGGCCCCCGAAUCACCUGCGGCCUCCACACCGCACUAUCCCAUCGUCGAUGGGUUCGCCAACAUGCACCUCUCCGGCCGCCAUGACUACACGCCGGCGCCCAUGUCAUCGCCCUCCGUACUACCGCAUUCUGCCUCCUUCUCAAACGGUGGAGGGAUGCAGAUGGUGCCGUACGGUACCGUGGCCGGAGGGUCACAGCAUGGCAGCACGAGGGCGUCGCUGAAAGUGGUGCUGCUCCAUGGCAGCCUCGACAUUUGGGUGCACGAGGCCAAGAACCUCCCCAACAAGGACAUGUUCUCCAAGAGGGUCAGCGAGCUCCUCUCCGUAGGCGGCAAGUCCAACUCUAAAAUGACAAGCGACCCCUACGUUACCAUCCAGGUCUCCUAUGCCACCGUCGCUCGCACCUACGUCGUUUCCAAUAGCGAGAACCCCGUUUGGGCGCAGAACUUCCAUGUGCCUGUUGGCCAUGAGGCUGCUGAGGUUGAGUUCGUCGUCAAGGACAGCGAUGUCUUCGGAGCUCAGCUCAUGGGAACUGUGGCCAUCCCUGCCGAGAAUCUCCUUUCUGGGGACAGGAUUGAGGGCAUCUACCCUGUGCUAGAGCCCAAUGGCAAGCCGUGCGCUCCUGGUGCUGUAUUACAGCUCUCUAUUCAGUACAUCCCAGUGGCUCGCCUUACAAUGUACCACCAUGGUGUCAUUGCUGGUCCGGACUGCCUUGGAGUGCCCAAUACUUACUUCCCGCUGCGCCGUGGCAUGAGGGUGACCCUCUAUCAGGAUGCACAUGUGCCCGAUGGUUCUCUCCCAGAUAUCUGGCUUGAUCAUGGAUUGCGCUACCAACACGGGCAAUGCUGGCGUGACAUGUACAAUGCCAUAAGCCAGGCACGGCGGUUGAUUUACAUUGUGGGUUGGUCAGUGUUCCACACGAUCGACCUCAUAAGGGAUGGAGCUGAGAAGGCACCAUCACUUGGGGACCUGUUGAAGAUGAAGUCGCAGGAAGGCGUUAGGGUAUUGCUUCUUGUAUGGGAUGAUCCAACGUCAAGGAGUAUUCUCGGCUUUAAGAUGGAUGGUUUCAUGGGCACACGAGAUGAGGAAACACGUCGGUUUUUCAAGCACUCUUCAGUUCAAGUAUUACUUUGCCCAAGAUCUGCUGGGAAGCGUCACAGCUGGGUGAAACAGCAGGAAACAGGAACCAUUUUUACUCAUCAUCAGAAAACAGUUAUUGUGGAUGCUGAUGCCGGCAAUUAUAGGAGAAAAAUAAUUGCUUUUGUCGGAGGUCUUGAUUUGUGUGGUGGGCGCUAUGAUACACCUGGGCAUCCUCUGUUUCAGACUCUUCAAACUUCACACAAGGAGGAUUAUUACAAUCCAAACUUUGCUACAGUUGAUGCCCGUGGCCCAAGGGAACCAUGGCAUGACUUGCAUUCCAGGAUCGACGGUCCAGCAGCUUAUGAUGUUCUGAAGAACUUUGAGGAGCGUUGGUUGAAGGCAUCCAAACGCCAUGGGAUUAAAAAGUUGGGGAAAUCAAACGAUGAUGCACUUCUCAAGAUUGAAAGAAUACAUGAUAUUGUAAACAUUGAUGAUGCAAUUUAUUUUAGCGACAAUGACCCAGAGACAUGGCAUGUUCAGGUGUUUCGCUCUAUUGACUCAAACUCUGCCAAGGGAUUUCCAAAGGACCCACGAGUAGCAACCAUGAAGAAUCUUGUCUGUGGGAAGAAUGUACUAAUUGAUAUGAGCAUACAUACAGCUUAUGUGAAUGCCAUCAGGGCAGCCCAACACUUUAUUUACAUUGAGAACCAAUACUUCAUCGGUUCUUCAUUUAAUUGGGAUUCAAACAAAGAUAUUGGGGCUAACAAUUUGGUACCAAUUGAAAUUGCUCUCAAAAUUGCAAACAAGAUUAAGGCAAAAGAGAGGUUUUCUGCAUACAUAGUAGUUCCUAUGUGGCCCGAGGGUAAUCCAACUGGUGCUCCUACACAAAGAAUUCUUUACUGGCAGAACAAAACAAUGCAAAUGAUGUAUGAGACAAUAUAUAAGGCCUUGAAAGAAGUAGGUCUGGAUGAUAUAUAUGAGCCUCAGGAUUAUUUGAACUUCUUUUGUCUUGGCAAUCGUGAAAUUGGGGACAGCCCUAGUACUCCAAGUACUGCAAAUAAUCCUCAGGAUCAAGCUAGGAAAAAUAGGAGAUUCAUGGUUUAUGUACAUUCAAAAGGUAUGAUUGUAGAUGAUGAAUAUGUGAUCAUUGGAUCAGCUAAUAUCAACCAGAGGUCGAUGGAAGGGAUCAGAGAUACUGAGAUUGCAAUGGGAGCAUAUCAACCACAGUAUACAUGGGCAAAUAAAAUUUCUGCUCCGCGUGGACAGAUUUAUGGCUACAGAAUGUCCCUCUGGGCUGAGCAUAUUGGAAUUAUCGAGGAAGAGUUUAACCAUCCAGAGAGCCUAGAGUGCAUGAGGCGGGUUCGUCAACUCGGGCAACAUAACUGGGAUCAGUUCUUUGCAAAUGAGGUGACUGAGAUGAGAGGCCACCUCCUCAAGUACCCUGUAAGUGUUGACCGUAAAGGCAAGGUGAAACCCUUGCCAGGAUGUGCGACAUUCCCAGACAUGGGCGGAAACAUUUGUGGCUCCUUCACGGCCAUCCAAGAAAACCUCACUAUAUGA